ACUAAAUCCAUGAUGUUAAAAGUUUUGGAUACAAAACAUUAGCAUGGGGCAGAACUUUAUAAAAACCAAACAAAUUCUAAUGGUUUUCUGAUAAUUACUUAAUGAGUUGUUACUGUUAAUCAGAUUUUAAUGUACAUUAUAGAUGUUUCAUUACCGAAAAGAGUAAAAAUAUGCGACAACUCUUGUUGACUGCCCUGACGAUAUAGCGGCUGUGUGCUUAGUUUCGUUGCGUGGCAACCUAUCUUCCGAAUUGAUUUUAAUUUAGAUCUAAAUUGUAUGAUUAAUUAAUUUUGUUUUAAAAAAAAAGAACAAAACAGUGUAACUGUGAGAAUUAUUUUCAUUGAUGUCAAAAAUAUGUGACGUCAUUGAUUAGACGUGUCAUAGAAAUAUUUCUAUAAGAUGCGUAAUCUCGUUUGGGUGAGAUUUGGUAAAUUUACAUGCUCGUUACCAGGUUUGCCCAGUCCGGUUCCGGUCUGAAUUUUUUUUUAACCGACAGUCUGUGGGUGACAGUUUUAGUUACGCUCCAGUGUUACUGGAAAAGAGAUUUGCUCAAGCACUGGGCUGUGGAGCUUCGCUCUUUAUCAAUGUCAGUAUCAAAGUACAGCCACAAAGUACAGACACAAAUAAAUCGGCAUUUAUAUUCCCAGGGUACGAUCCUACCCACAACCCAGCUUUUGAUAUUCUCCAGUCAGAUUUGGAGUCAGAUCGACUGGAAACAACCAUUUAACUAAAUGGCCUGAGUCAGUGAGUGUAGAAUGACGUUGGUUGUUGUCAAAUAUAAAACCUCCACAAUAAACCCUUUUGUGAACCAAAAAUAUUAAUCAAUUUCAUUCCAUGUGGAUAUCAAAAUUGUUCUUUAAGUUAAAUUUUAUAUGAGUAUUAGGUUAAUUUUGUUAAAUAUCAAAAAGUGUGAAAAUUAAUUAGCUACGUAAUUUCGUUUGGGUGAAAUUUGGUAGAAAGGAGGAGAUAACUCUUACCAUGUUAACAUGCACAUGCAUUAGAUCUAUUUGAUAAGGCCAACUUCAAGUUUGGUCAAAGGUCACGAGAUGUAAACAGGGCUAGCGCUAGCACCAAACCUAACCCUAACCCUGGCCUUACGUAUACUAGCCCAUGCACAUUAUCUGUUUUGCCCAGUGUAUCCUGUUCUGGUCUCAAGCCAACAGAUGAAGGUUUCAGUUAUACUAUUUUGUUCCCGGAAAAGAACUUUGGUCUAUAUUAGCCAGGUCGAUGUAGGCCUACCUAAUAAUGACAUAGUAGGCCUGAUUACUGACAUGACAUCAAUCAAUCCCCCAAACUCACGCGUUGAUAUCAACCCUAUUCAUUUUAAUUUUUUAAUAAAUAUCCAUGAUAGCUACUCCAUUAAUAUUAGCUUUGUGAUAAAUAUCCACAAAAUCUGUUUUAGUGUAAAAUAAAAGCAUGAGUAAAAAGGUUCUUUCAAAGAUUACAACCGAUGGAAGUCAGCAGUUUUUUCUGUUAACGACGAUACCAGUGGAUAAAGAAGAUGGUUUUAACUUGUUACUAACGGAUGGACAAUCAACAUGGACAGGAACUUUUUCAGCUGAUAAUAUGGACAAACAGCGUAAAAGGUUAAAAAUGGAUUUUACCUCGUAUUUUAAUCAAACUGAAAAAGCCUUCAUCAAAGAUGAUAAUGAAGUGAAUUUUGAAUACAGUGUUAAAAUUAAAAAUGAUGAUACAGCUGAAUUGGUGUGGAAGAAACAUGUCACCUCAGAUGAUAUUAAGUUUCAGUUAGGAUGUAUAACUCUAAUGUUAAAAGAUGACCCAGGGACUGGUAUAUGUACGAUAUUAAAUCAUAGCGUAGUCAACAGUGAACGAGAUCAACAUCAACUUAAACAGCUAGAAACAGAUAAUAACAGACUGUCACAAGAACGGAUGAUGGCGUUAAAGGUGCUUGAUAACUAAAAGAGCGCUGACCAUAGGAGACUAGUUGAACAGUUUUGGGCUUUAAAAGUAGUUUAUCUGAUGUACGUAAUGUUCAGCCAGGUGUAUAAAGUUCUAAAAGAUCUGAGAGGUAAACAGGAGCUAAAUUAUUUAAACAUUUAAAAAGGCUAGAAAAAUAUAUUGCUGCAAAAGAAGAAAUGGAAAAAGAUUUAUUUUCAAAGUUUGUGGCCAUAUUAAAUAGUAAAAAAGAAAAAAUAAGAAAUUUAAAAGAAAAUGGUUCAGGUGAUGAUAAUGAGAAAGAUGAUGGAACAUCAGUGUCACAGUCGAAUUCUACUCGAAAUGGUAGACAAAACAGAGAAUAACGGGUUGAAACAAAUAAAGAAGAAAGGUAAAUAAACCUUAAUUAUUGAACACCUGACCGAAAUGGAAGACAAAACAGAGAACAACAGGUUGAAACAAAUAAAGAAGAAAGGUAAAUAAACCUUAAUUAUUGAACACCUGACCGAAAUGGAAGACAAAACAGAGAACAACAGGUUGAAACAAAUAAAGAAGAAAGCGAUAAAGAAGAAAAUACAGAUGAGGAAGAGACGCCACCACCUAAACGUCAGAGAAAGAAUGUAGGCCGUAAAACUGGUGAUCUAGAUUCAUCGUUAGAUUUAGGGGAUGACGAGAUUACAUCAUCAUCUUCUACGAUAGUUAAAAGGUCAGCUAGAAAGAGAGGAAGUGUAAGAACAGCGACACCAAGUAAACCUAUUUUACCUAAAAUAACUAGAAAUACGUCCAAUGAGAGCUAUGAUGGUGGUCGAGGUCGGAUGAGUAAAAGUAGUUCUAAUAAUUCUAAUGUAUCUAAUAUAGAUCCUGAAGAUUUGUUCAGUGUUUUGUAGACUUAUUUAUCAGACAGAAUAGUACAUAACUGUUUGUAUCUGGUUUAUUUAUCAGACAUUUCAAUCAGUUUCUAAUGUGCUUGAUACUGAAAUUUGAGAGAACAACUGUAAUAAUAGGAGGUAGCCAUUGUUUACGAUUCAGACAUAAUGUUGUGUAUUAAUUGUAUAAUUUGUAUAUAAUACAGGCAUAAUGUUGUGUAUUAAACAUAACCUAAUAUUGUAUAUAUCACAUGAAUAUACUACUGCUAAUAUAAUAGAAUAUAUUGUA